GGAGAAAUGUGGCCUGCUCAGAUUUUCAAUCUGAAAAGACGGGUUCGACUCCCGUAGGGACCGCCA
rnacentral:tRNA from 1 species